rnacentral:lncRNA from 1 species
UCAUUAUUACAACAUUAGAAGUAGCUGUUUCCUGUGGAAUAGCCGGUUCAGUAAUUUGCUUUAUCUCAUGUGCAAGUGGUUUCUGCCUGGGCCAGUAAUAUAUUUUAAUAAGGCAAGUUUCCAGAUUUAUGAUGCCUACAUCAUGAAGGAACUUCUUUCCUGUUCACAUGUAAGUAUUUCUUCUUACUCUGUUACUUUAGUACUGAUGAAUAAGGGACCAUGUUCAGCGUUUCCAGAAUGAAAGUUAAACAGUAGAAAGGUGUUUAAAAUUGAAAAAUGCACGCCCGGGAUGGAUCCUAUUUCUUCUGCUUUGUUGUUUCCUGGUAAUAUUACCACGAUGUGUGUUGCUUCGUGUAAGCUUAGUUUAUUUCCAAAAGCUGAUACUUUCACUGCAAACAUCAAUGAAAUAAAAUUGCUAAUUUAGUUCAGUGAGAAGGGUGCACACGGGUUGCUUUGUACGAGGCCCGCCUAUCACUGUGCUCCACAAAUGUUAGCUAUUAUCACACAUCUUACAGUCAGAAAGUACAGUGUCAAUAUCUGCUUUUUGUUGUCUCCAUGAUAUUUGAGUGUCAGAAUUUCAGUUUUCAUCUGACUUUGGUUGAACUCUGGCUUUCAUACUCCUUAGCAAGCCUGUUGCGGUUCUUUCUGUUGAAAAGUGGCAGCAUGGUAGAUUCUACGUAGUCUUAGGAAUUCCCAGUGACACUCAUCUUUUACUUUAUUAGCAGAAAGUAGGGAUGUUUGAUAAAAUAUGAAAGAAAAAUAUAAGAUGAGGAGUGGGAUUGGAUCAACUCUCCCCUGUGGUUUUCUCUAUGACUCUAAGAGAUAGAAAAUCAAUAAAUAAAAUAGCUAAUUAAAAAAAAUUUCACUUCAUGGACCUAUUAGCUUUGAGUUUUUAAAACUCAGUGCAGAUUACAGAUGCUUUUAUUAGCUUACAAGUUGUGCCACAUAACUUGUGGGGCCCAGUGCAACGUGAAAACGCAUUAGGAUGACAAUGAUAUUUGUUUCCUUUAAAUUAACAUGCUUUGAAUUAAAUUCUGAAUCUGAUUCCAGGGGGCGAUUUGCACUACCACCUUUCACAACACGGUGUGUUCUCUGAGAAGGAGAUGCGGUUUUAUGCCACUGAAAUCAUUCUGG